UCCUCUUCUUUUAUGUUUCUUCUUCUUUCCUCUCUGUCGAUCUCAUUUCAGAAGAACUGAGUUAGCUAUGUGAGAUAUUGAUAGAAAGUUAGGUAGCUUGAUGAAUCGAAGAAGAUGAAAUUAGAAUUGAGGUUGUUUGAGUUCCAGGAGAAUAAGAAGGUGAUGUUUAUGUUGAAUUGAAUCUAGGGUUUCUAGUAGUUUUAAUUCAAGUUGAUUUCGUGAUGGUUAGGAAGAAUUGAGAAUUGGGUUUAGUUGAUUGAGGUUUAAUUGAAGUUCUGAGGCUGUCCUGGAGAUGAAUCGAAUUCAAAACUCAAAUGGAAAAGGUGGUUGUUGGACUUGUUUUAUGGAAUCUGAUGACAUUCCAUAAAAUAUAGACUUUCAGUCGGAUGUACUAUUGCCGUCAUUUGUAUCUUUAAGUAUUUUCUAUAUAGAGUGCGCGUAGAAUGAGGUACUGGUAAGGUACACAUCGUUUAUGACUUCGAAGAUGGAAAACCUCACGGUACUUUAAUGAUCAUUGAAGCUUUCGGAACAGUCAUGCCUUGCUACUCCGAAGGAAGACGUCACUCAACUAUUAAUUAUGUUGCGAAUGUGUGUCGGUUUAUUGGUUGGUAAAACUUUAUAUUUCAGUACAAUUAUUAUUAUUCUAGUAUGUUUUAUUUGUGUUCUGUGUAGUGAUUACUUGAAAGUUAGUUGUUAUUUCUACUGGGCACCCCUUUUAGGGAUGACGUGCUCACCCGUUCCCACUUUCAGUUCCAGAGACAGAUUCAGAUGAAGUUUUGUGCAUGUGGCGAUGAAAUCUUCGAGGAGUUGGUUUCGUUAGUUAGUUGGCUUCCGCUAUGUUUAUUUUGUGUUUAUAUUCUAUUUGUAAAUCAACUCAUUAUUGAAUAUGUAUCAUUUGAGAGGAAUUCUUGUAUUUAUUUUAGAGAGGGUUUAAAUUCGGGUUAAUCUUUGUUUAGAACUUCUUUCUUAGUGUUUUAAAUAGAUAUUUUAGAUCGUUAGUGCUUCAUUUUUU